GCACRGGGGAGCUUGCUCCCUGGGUGACGAGCGGCGGACGGGUGAGUAAUGUCUGGGAAACUGCCUGAUGGAGGGGGAUAACUACUGGAAACGGUAGCUAAUACCGCAUAACGUCGCAAGACCAAAGAGGGGGACCUUCGGGCCUCUUGCCAUCAGAUGUGCCCAGAUGGGAUUAGCUAGUAGGUGGGGUAAUGGCUCACCUAGGCGACGAUCCCUAGCUGGUCUGAGAGGAUGACCAGCCACACUGGAACUGAGACACGGUCCAGACUCCUACGGGAGGCAGCAGUGGGGAAUAUUGCACAAUGGGCGCAAGCCUGAUGCAGCCAUGCCGCGUGUGUGAAGAAGGCCUUCGGGUUGUAAAGCACUUUCAGCGAGGAGGAAGGUGGUGAGCUUAAUACGYUCAUCAAUUGACGUUACUCGCAGAAGAAGCACCG
rnacentral:rRNA from 1 species